GUUCCCAUACCGAACACGGAAGUUAAGCUUCUCAGCGCCGAUGGUAGUUGGGGGCUGUCCCCCUGUGAGAGUAGGACUCUGCCGGGC
rnacentral:rRNA from 1 species